rnacentral:rRNA from 1 species
UACGUAGGGGGCUAGCGUUGUCCGGAAUCAUUGGGCGUAAAGAGUGCGUAGGCGGUUUUCUAAGUUUGGUGUGAAAUCUCCCGGCUUAACUGGGAGGGUGCGCCGAAGACUGGAAGGCUUGAGUAUGGGAGAGGUAAGCGGAAUUCCUGGUGUAGCGGUGAAAUGCGUAGAUAUCAGGAGGAACACCUGCGGUGUAGACGGCUUACUGGACCAUAACUGACGCUGAGGCACGAAAGCGUGGGGAGCGAACAGG